rnacentral:misc_RNA from 1 species
GAUGAAGAACGUAGCGAAAUGUGAUACUUGGUGUGAAUUGCAGAAUCCCGUGAACCAUCGAGUCUUUGAACGCAAGUUGCGCCCGAAGCCAUUAGGCCGAGGGCACGUCUGCCUGGGCGUCACGCAUCGUGUCGCCCCCCUUCCCCGCGCUGAAUGCCGGGCGGUCGGGGGCGGACAUUGGCCUCCCGUGCACCUCCGUGCGCGGCUGGCCCAAAUGCGAUCCCCGGGCGACUGGCGUCACGACAAGCGGUGGUUGAACAUCUCAAUCUCUCACGUCGUCGUGCCGUCCUGUCGUCAUUACGGGAAUAGUCAUAAACGACCCAACGGUGCCGAUGCUUAGCUGCACCUCACCUUCGACCGCGACCCCAGGUCAGACGGGAUUACCCGCUGAAUUUAAGCAUAUCAAUAAGCGGAGGA